rnacentral:misc_RNA from 1 species
UUAAGUUCAGCGGGUAUCCCUACCUGAUCCGAGGUCAACCUUAAGAGUUGGGGGGUGCUAGCGAGCAUCCACGCGGACUCUGUAGCGAGAAGAAUUACUACGCUGAGAGCCACGCGGCGCCGCCACUGCGUUUAAGGGCUGCCCGACGGCAGGCCCCAAGACCACGCGAGGCGUGAUGGUUUAUAAUGACGCUCGAACAG